GCAGUGUUGGUUCAGUGGUAGAAUUCUCACCCUCCAUGUGGGAGACCUGAGUUUGAUUCCCAGCCAAUGCA
rnacentral:tRNA from 1 species